rnacentral:rRNA from 1 species
AUUGAACGCUGGCGGCAUGCUUUACACAUGCAAGUCGAACGGCAGCGCGGGCUUCGGCCUGGCGGCGAGUGGCGAACGGGUGAGUAAUGCAUCGGAACGUGCCCAGUAGUGGGGGAUAGCCUGGCGAAAGCCGGAUUAAUACCGCAUACGACCUGAGGGUGAAAGCGGGGGACCGAAAGGCCUCGCGCUAUUGGAGCGGCCGAUGUCGGAUUAGCUAGUUGGUGGGGUAAAGGCUUACCAAGGCGACGAUCCGUAGCUGGUCUGAGAGGACGACCAGCCACACUGGGACUGAGACACGGCCCAGACUCCUACGGGAGGCAGCAGUGGGGAAUUUUGGACAAAGGGGGCAACCCUGAUCCAGCCAUGCCGCGUGCGGGAAGAAGGCCUUCGGGUUGUAAACCGCUUUUGUUCGGGAAGAAAUCCUCUGGGCUAAUACCCCGGGGGGAUGACGGUACCGGAAGAAUAAGCACCGGCUAACUACGUG